rnacentral:rRNA from 1 species
GACGAACGCUGGCGGCGUGCUUAACACAUGCAAGUCGAACGGUGAAGCUCCAGCUUGCUGGAGUGGAUCAGUGGCGAACGGGUGAGUAACACGUGAGCAACCUGCCCCAGACUCUGGAAUAAGCGCUGGAAACGGCGUCUAAUACUGGAUACGAGAUCAAGCCGCCUGGUUAUGGUCUGGAAAGUUUUUCGGUUUGGGAUGGGCUCGCGGCCUAUCAGCUUGUUGGUGAGGUAAUGGCUCACCAAGGCGACGACGGGUAGCCGGCCUGAGAGGGCGACCGGCCACACUGGGACUGAGACACGGCCCAGACUCCUACGGGAGGCAGCAGUGGGGAAUAUUGCACAAUGGGCGAAAGCCUGAUGCAGCGACGCCGCGUGAGGGAUGACGGCCUUCGGGUUGUAAACCUCUUUCAGCAGGGAAGAAGCGAAAGUGACGGUACCUGCAGAAGAAGCACCGGCUAACUACGUG